rnacentral:rRNA from 1 species
AGAGUUUGAUCAUGGCUCAGAACGAACGCUGGCGGCAUGCCUAACACAUGCAAGUCGAACGAAGUCUUCAGACUUAGUGGCGCACGGGUGCGUAACGCGUGGGAAUCUGCCCUUGGGUACGGAAUAACUCAGAGAAAUUUGUGCUAAUACCGUAUAAUGUCUUCGGACCAAAGAUUUAUCGCCCAAGGAUGAGCCCGCGUAAGAUUAGCUAGUUGGUGGGGUAAAAGCCUACCAAGGCGACGAUCUUUAGCUGGUCUGAGAGGAUGAUCAGCCACACUGGGACUGAGACACGGCCCAGACUCCUACGGGAGGCAGCAGUGGGGAAUAUUGGACAAUGGGCGAAAGCCUGAUCCAGCAAUGCCGCGUGAGUGAUGAAGGCCUUAGGGUUGUAAAGCUCUUUUACCCGGGAUGAUAAUGACAGUACCGGGAGAAUAAGCUCCGGCUAACUCCGUG